GAUGAACGCUGGCGGCGUGCCUAAUACAUGCAAGUCGAGCGAACAGAUGAGGAGCUUGCUCCUCUGACGUUAGCGGCGGACGGGUGAGUAACACGUGGAUAACCUACCUAUAAGACUGGGAUAACUUCGGGAAACCGGAGCUAAUACCGGAUAAUAUAUUGAACCGCAUGGUUCAAUAGUGAAAGACGGUGUUGCUGUCACUUAUAGAUGGAUCCGCGCGGCAUUAGCUAGUUGUUAAGGUAACGGCUUACCAAGGCAACGAUGCGUAGCCGACCUGAGAGGGUGAUCGGCCACACUGGAGCUGGGACACGGUCCAGACUACUACGGGAGGCAGCAGUAGGGAAUCUUCCGCAACGGGCGAAAGCCUGACGGAGCAACGCGGCGUGAGUGAUGAAGGCCUUCGGAUCGUAAAGCUCUGUUAUUAGGGAAGAACAAAUGUGUACGUAACUAUGCACGUCUUGACGGUACCUGAUCAGAAAGCAACGGCUAACUACGUG
rnacentral:rRNA from 1 species